rnacentral:rRNA from 1 species
UACGGAGGGGGCUAGCGUUGUCCGGAAUCAUUGGGCGUAAAGCGCGCGUAGGCGGCCCGGUAAGUCCGUUGUGAAAGUCAAAGGCUCAACCUUUGAAAGCCGAUGGAUACUGCCGGGCUGGAGUCCGGAAGAGGCGAGUGGAAUUCCUGGUGUAGCGGUGGAAUGCGCAGAUAUCAGGAGGAACACCAAUAGCGAAGGCAGCUCGCUGGGACGGUACUGACGCUGAGACGCGAAAGCGUGGGGAGCAAACAGG